GACGAACGCUGGCGGCGUGCCUAAUACAUGCAAGUCGAGCGGACCGGAUUGGGGCUUGCCUUGAUUCGGUCAGCGGCGGACGGGUGAGUAACACGUGGGCAACCUGCCCGCAAGACCGGGAUAACUCCGGGAAACCGGAGCUAAUACCGGAUAACACCGAAGACCGCAUGGUCUUCGGUUGAAAGGCGGCCUUUGGGCUGUCACUUGCGGAUGGGCCCGCGGCGCAUUAGCUAGUUGGUGAGGUAACGGCUCACCAAGGCGACGAUGCGUAGCCGGCCUGAGAGGGUGACAGGCCACACUGGGACUGAGACACGGCCCAGACUCCUACGGGAGGCAGCAGUAGGGAAUCUUACGCAAUGGGCGAAAGCCUGACGGAGCGACGCCGCGUGAGCGAAGAAGGCCGUCGGGUCGUAAAGCUCUGUUGUGAGGGACGAAGGAGCGUCGUUCGAAGAGGGCGGCGCGGUGACGGUACCUCACGAGAAAGCCCCGGCUAACUACGUG
rnacentral:rRNA from 1 species